rnacentral:lncRNA from 1 species
GCUUGUUUGAUGGAAAGCAUAAUAACUUGAAAGGUAUGACUAUAUUCUCUGUGAGGUAAGAAUCGACCACCAAGAUAUUUGCCAUGCUCAGUUUCUUCCUACUUUCAACACAUAGUCAAAACAACAGACCUGAAACAAUCACUGGCGGAUCCAGGCACGGGCUCGACCGUGUUAUAGCCCGUGCUGCCGCUGAAAAUUUCUACUUUUUUCUUAGAUUUUUUAUUUUUUCUUUUUUUAAAGAUAAAUUUAUGUAUAUUUGUAUUGUAGCCCGUAUUCAAAUCAAGACUGGAUCCGUCCCUGGAAACAAUGCCAAUAUCUUCCCAUUUACGGUUGCCAUGAGAAUAACUACUUAAAAAACCACAAAGGUAGGCAAGAACACAAUAACAAUCACCACAAAGGCAGAGAUGAAGAGAGAUAGAGACUGGUAGAAGGAGAAAACCAAUUUCUCGCAAAAGAGAGGCGCACGGUUCGAGAGUAAGAGAAUGGAGAGAAGACCCAAUAUAUUCAACUAAUGAGGUCACAUAAGGUAAGUCACAAUAGGGUAAAUAAUGGGUCACGUAAGGCCCAUUCACU